rnacentral:rRNA from 1 species
GUUCGACUAAGCCAUGCGAGUCGAAUGUAGCAAUACAUGGCGAACUGCUCAGUAACACGUGGACAACCUGCCCUUAGGUUGGGUAUAAACCCGGGAAACUGGGUAUAAUACCCGAUAGGUCUCGAUUGCUGGAAUGCAUCGAGAUUUAAAGCUCCGGCGCCUAAGGAUGGGUCUGCGGCCUAUCAGGUAGUAGUGGGUGUAGCGUACCUACUAGCCUACGACGGGUACGGGUUGUGAGAGCAAGAGCCCGGAGAUGGAUUCUGAGACACGAAUCCAGGCCCUACGGGGUGCAGCAGGCGCGAAAACUUUACAAUGCUGGCAACAGCGAUAAGGGAACCUCGAGUGCCAGGUUACAAAUCUGGCUGUCGAGAUGCCUAAAAAGCAUUUCAUAGCAAGGGCCGGGCAAGACCGGUGCCAGCCGCCGCGGUAACACCGGCGGCUCGAGUGGUAACCGUUAUUAUUGGGUCUAAAGGGUCUGUAGCCGGCCGGAUAAGUCUCUUGAGAAAUCUGGCAGCUUAACUGUCAGGCUUUCAGGAGAUACUGUCUGGCUCGAGGCCGGGAGAGGUGAGAGGUACUUCAGGGGUAGGGGUGAAAUCUUGUAAUCCUUGAAGGACCACCAGUGGCGAAGGCGUCUCACCAGAACGGACCUGACGGCAAGGGACGAAAGCUAGGGGCACGAACCGGAUUAG